rnacentral:rRNA from 1 species
AGAGUUUGAUCCUGGCUCAGGAUGAACGCUAGCGGCAGGCCUAACACAUGCAAGUCGAGGGGUAACAGAGAAGCUUGCUUCUGCUGACGACCGGCGCACGGGUGCGUAACGCGUAUGCAACCUACCUCAUACUGGAGAAUAGCCCUUGGAAACGAGGAUUAAUACUCCAUGGUAUCAUUCUUUCGCAUGUUAGAAUGAUUAAAGAAUUUCGGUAUGAGAUGGGCAUGCGUCCCAUUAGCUAGUUGGUGAGGUAACGGCUCACCAAGGCGACGAUGGGUAGGGGGCCUGAGAGGGUGGUCCCCCACACUGGUACUGAGACACGGACCCGACUCCUACGGGAGGCAGCAGUGAGGAAUAUUGGUCAAUGGAGGCAACUCUGAACCAGCCAUGCCGCGUGAAGGAUGACGGCCCUAUGGGUUGUAAACUUCUUUUAUAUGGGAAGAAACUUAUCUACGUGUAGAUAACUGACGGUACCAUACGAAUAAGGAUCGGCUAACUCCGUGCCAGCAGCCGCGGUAAUACGGAGGAUCCAAGCGUUAUCCGGAUUCAUUGGGUUUAAAGGGUCCGUAGGCGGAUUUUUAAGUCAGUGGUGAAAGCCGGCAGCUCAACUGUCGAACUGCCAUUGAUACUGGAAAUCUUGAGUACAAAUGAAGUAGGCGGAAUGAGUCAUGUAGCGGUGAAAUGCAUAGAUAUGACUCAGAACACCGAUUGCGAAGGCAGCUUACUAACAUGUAACUGACGCUGAGGGACGAAAGCGUGGGGGGCGAACAGGAUUAGAUACCCUGGUAGUCCACACCGUAAACGAUGAAUG